CUAAGGGCAAAACCGCCGAAAGGCGGCGACGCAAAGCUAUAGGGUCUGAAACGAUAAGGAGUAUGACAGCCAGUUGCCGA
rnacentral:ncRNA from 1 species